rnacentral:misc_RNA from 1 species
AGGUAGCAUUCCUCAGCGACGUCUGCCCGACUCCGAACCGAGCCACGGGGGGCACGGCAGGAGACGGAACCGACGGUCGUUCGCACGAAGCGUAGAACGCUUUUUUUGUGAUGCUACGAGACCGAUGGUCCCGUACCCACAUGAUAUUCCGUACUCGAGAUAMCGAGCGAACCGUCGUGGUUCAUCGACCCAAACGCCGUUUCACAGGCGAACGGGGCGCGAGACACGACGGGCGCUGUUUGGCCCACCCCGCACCGCCAGCCCGUUAGGGCGGCAGCACGGGACGGGAAUGAGACGAUGGUAGCCGAUAGAAUGCCCUUGCGAUAGGUAUGCAACACAGGAAAACCGACGUCGGACGAGCACUUGCUCGCGCCAACAACUGAAGAGACACGGACGGGAUGUCGUCGCUGCCCGAGCAGGGAUCCGACAAGCCGUU